GGGGGCUGUCAUGAUAUCGGGCCUGACUGUAAAUCAGCCGUCUUAUGACUUCGAAGGUUCGAGUCCUUCUUCCCCCACCA
rnacentral:tRNA from 1 species